rnacentral:rRNA from 1 species
UACGUAGGGUGCAGGCGUUAAUCGGAAUUACUGGGCGUAAAGAGCUCGUAGGCGGUCUGUCGCGUCUGCUGUGAAAACUCAGGGCUUAACCCUGAGCUUGCAGUGGGUACGGGCAGACUAGAGUGCGGUAGGGGAGACUGGAAUUCCUGGUGUAGCGGUGAAAUGCGCAGAUAUCAGGAGGAACACCGGUGGCGAAGGCGGGUCUCUGGGCCGUAACUGACGCUGAGGAGCGAAAGCAUGGGGAGCGAACAGG